CAUCAUUGGUUCUCAUACAAUCACCGAAGUUAAGCAACGUCAAGCUUGGUCAGUAACUAGAUGGGUGACCGCUUGGGAAUACCAGGUGCUGUAAG